rnacentral:rRNA from 1 species
GACGAACGCUGGCGGCGUGCUUAACACAUGCAAGUCGAACGCUGAAGCUCAGCUUUUGUUGGGUGGAUGAGUGGCGAACGGGUGAGUAACACGUGAGUAACCUGCCUCCUUCUUUGGGAUAACGCCCGGAAACGGGUGCUAAUACUGGAUAUUCACUGGUCUUCGCAUGGGGGUUGGUGGAAAGGGUUUUUCUGGUGGGGGAUGGGCUCGCGGCCUAUCAGCUUGUUGGUGGUGUGAUGGCCUACCAAGGCUUUGACGGGUAGCCGGCCUGAGAGGGUGACCGGGAACAUUGGGACGGAGAUAUCGCCCAGAGUCCUACGGGGGGCAGCAGUGGGGAAAAUUGCACAAGGGGCGCAAGCCUGAUGCAGCGACGCCGCGUGAGGGAUGGAGGCCUUCGGGUUGUGAACCUCUUUCGCUCAUGGUCAAGCCGCAACAAUGGUUGUGGUGAGGGUAGUGGGUAAAGAAGCGCCGGCUAACUACGUG